CCUACGGGAGGCAGCAGUGAGGAAUAUUGGUCAAUGGACGAGAGUCUGAACCAGCCAAGUAGCGUGAAGGAUGACUGCCCUAUGGGUUGUAAACUUCUUUUAUAUGGGAAUAAAAUGUUCCACGUGUGGGAUUUUGUAUGUACCAUAUGAAUAAGGAUCGGCUAACUCCGUGCCAGCAGCCGCGGUAAUACGGAGGAUCCGAGCGUUAUCCGGAUUUAUUGGGUUUUUAGGGAGCGUAGGUGGAUUGUUAAGUCAGUUGUGAAAGUUUGCGGCUCAACCGUAAAAUUGCAGUUGAAACUGGCAGUCUUGAGUACAGGAGAGGUGGGCGGAAUUCGUGGUGUAGCGGUGAAAUGCUUAGAUAUCACGAAGAACUCCGAUUGCGAAGGCAGUUCACUGGACUGCAACUGACACUGAGGCUCGAAAGUGUGGGUAUCAAACAGGAUUAGAUACCCUUGUAGUC
rnacentral:rRNA from 1 species